GACACAAUGAGGAAGCUGGGCUGGUGGGGAGAGUGCUGCCUGCCUCCUUCGCAAGGUCUUACCCUCUCCUGCUCGGAAAGCACAGCACAGACUUGGCACCAGCCAAUCCCACUAUCAGAUGCCAACCUGCUUUCAUUACUUCCUGGUCUUCAACUCUGCAUCCUCUAACCUGCUCAGAACCCAAGCAAAAUGCUGAUGGUUAAGCAGAGUCUUGAACUGAGAAAAUGGCUGCGGUUGGUACAAGUGAGGCCUUCCCUGUAACCAGAUCCUUCAGGAAAAAACAAAUUAAUCAACAGCGAGCUGAAGUGGGUUUAAUGAUUGCAUUCUGCAUACAAUCAGCUUUUCGCUUUUCAAGGGCCAUCAAUAUGUCAAGGGAAGACAUAUCUGAAGGAUAUAGCUCUUAACAUCAAGGUUAUCUAUUCUCCACAAGGCUCCCACUCCUUGCCCGGCUGAUACUCCACGCUGCCUGUGUCUAACAUUUUCAUCAACUCUGCAAUCAAUCAAGGUAAUAAUGUUGUGCAAA